UCACUACUUGCGUAGGCAGUCUGGCUAGAGUCCCCACCACUACGUGCUGGUAACUAACCACAGGGGUUGCGCUCGUUGCGCCACUUAAGGCAACACCUCACGGCACGAGCUGACGACAGCCAUGCAGCACCUUCGCGGGCGCCCCGAAGGGAAGCCCCGUUUCGGGGGCGGUCGCCCGUGAUUUAGCCCGGGUAAGGUUCUUCGCGUUGCAUCGAAUUAAGCCACAUGCUCCACCGCUUGUGCGGGCCCCCGUCAAUUCCUUUGAGUUUCAUUCUUGCGAACGUACUCCCCAGGUGGUAUGCUUACUGCGUUAACUGCGUCACAGAACCUCGCGGCCCCACAACUAGCAUACAUCGUUUACAGCGUGGACUAC
rnacentral:misc_RNA from 1 species